GGUAGCUCAGCUAGUUAGAGCAUGGUGCUGAUAACGCCAAGGUAGCAGGUUUGACCCCCUCCGAGGGACA